rnacentral:lncRNA from 1 species
GCUGGAACUUUCUAAAAGAAGUCAGGGUGACAGUUCUAUAUACUACCCUAGAGCAGUUCUAUAUUCUCUCCUAGAGCAGUACUAUAUACUCUCCUAGAGCAGUUCUAUAUACUUUUCUAGAGCAGUUCUAUAUACUCUCCUAGAGCAGUUCUAUAUGCUCUCCAAGAACAGUUCUCCUGACAGUUCUAUAUACUCUCCUAGAGCAGUUCUCCUGACAGAUUUGAUGAGAGGUAAGAAGAGAUAUCCACUGUAAAUGUGAAUCUGAAAUACAAUUUCUAUUUUAAAGUUUUAGGGCUUAAAUACACGAAGGUCAAAUGUCGAUUUAAAAAAUUGACGGCAGCUUAGGACAAUGCAAAAAUGAAUCACGGAAUGAAUAAAUAAAGAAACACAGUUAAGAAACCUCCUUGUACUUGUGUGUUCAUUCAAACUGCAGUGCGAAUAGGUUUAUUUUGUUGGAAAGAAUAAUAAAAAACAAAUUAUUAUCUUUAAUUCAAUGACAAACAUGUAACAAUAUAUUAACGAUUAAACAUAUUCAAAAGAUGAAUAUCACGUGAUGUAUCAAUUAAACCCGGAAACAUAUAAUUAGUUUAAUAACAACAAACAGUUGCCUUUAUUCCAACAAAAACAUCGAAAUGACUGCAAAUCACCAAUAUGUACGAUGUACUACUAUGCAAAAGAACAAUAGGAUACAGACACAAAUGUAUAGUUUUCAUCAUGUUUAUUGAAAUCGUUGUGAUACUAAUCCAAGCAAAUUAACUAAAAUGUCAUGCAAAAAGUAAAAGCGAGCAUAUUUAUCUUUGAUAUUAAUACUCAUGAAAUAUUCUUUCUUUUUAUAGUCAAUUAGUUUUUGAUUGAUUGCUAAUCUUAAUUGAGUAGAAUUAUGUUUUUGAUUACUGCGUUAUAGAGACAAUGGGCCAUGAAUUUGAUCUUUCUCGCAUGUUUUUCGUAUAAAGUUUUGGAAAACAGAUAAUAUAUCUCUUCAAAAUAACAUGGACAUUCCCCUUAAAAAAACCCACAAAAAACAAACUUAGAUUUUUGAACUUUUGAAUAUAUGAAACUUCAAUUGUAAAAUCUGAGCACGCAUCAAGUCUCACGCUAUUGAUACAAUUCUCUCAAGUUUAUCUCUCUUCUUUUAUACAUAUUAAAUGAAUUUAGAGAUUGGCACCAAUAAGAGAGAGGCGAAAGAUCAAACAGGGAUAUUCAAGCACAUAUAUAGGAGAAAAACUAAUUUCGCUAUGGCUGGAAACGAAAAACGAGUACACGAUACACAACAGCAUACACACCACUAUAUACAAAAC